rnacentral:rRNA from 1 species
GAUUUCUGGUUUGAUGUACCUGUCCCGCCUCGGUAACGGGGUCGAGUGACGGAGUAUGUCUGCCAUCCUUCUAGAGAAUAUAAACUAUCCUUUACUGGACCGGUUUAUAUCAUCUAGAUCUUUUACUUUGAAAAAAUUAGAGUGUUUCAAGCAGGCUUUUGCUAUGAAUACAUUAGCAUGGAAUAAUGAGUUAGGACUUCGGUUCUAUUUUGUUGGUUUCUAGGGCUGAAGUAAUGAUUGAUAGGGACAGUUGGGGGUGCUAGUAUUCAGUGCGAAGAGGUGAAAUUCUUGGAUCCACUGAAGACUAACUUAUGCGAAAGCAUU